UACGUAGGGCGCAAGCGUUGUCCGGAAUUAUUGGGCGUAAAGAGCUCGUAGGCGGUUCGUCGCGUCGGCUGUGAAAUCCCGAGGCUCAACCUCGGGUCUGCAGUCGAUACGGGCGGACUGGAGUUCGGCAGGGGAGACUGGAAUUCCUGGUGUAGCGGUGAAAUGCGCAGAUAUCGGGAGGAACACCAGUAGCGAAGGCGGCACUCUGGGCCGUGACUGACGCUGAGGAGCGAAAGCGUGGGUAGCAAACAGG
rnacentral:rRNA from 1 species